rnacentral:rRNA from 1 species
GACGAACGCUGGCGGCGCGCUUAACACAUGCAAGUCGAACGGGCUCUGUCUGGCUGUGUGCUGGGUGGGGUUAGUGGCGAACGGGUGAGUAAUACGUGAGUAACCUGCCCUCUUCUUUGGGAUAAGCCUUGGAAACGGGGUCUAAUACUGGAUAUUCCUGUCUGGUCGCAUGGCUGGGCGGGGAAAGUUUUUUUCGGUGGGGGAUGGGCUCGCGGCCUAUCAGCUUGUUGGUGGGGUGAUGGCCUACCAAGGCGUCGACGGGUAGCCGGCCUGAGAGGGUGACCGGCCACACUGGGACUGAGAUACGGCCCAGACUCCUACGGGAGGCAGCAGUGGGGGAUAUUGCACAAUGGGCGCAAGCCUGAUGCAGCGACGCCGCGUGGGGGAUGACGGCUUUCGGGUUGUAAACCUCUUUCGUCGGGGGACAAGGCUCUGCUUGGUGGUGGGGUUGAGGGUACCCGGUGAAGAAGCGCCGGCUAACUACGUG